rnacentral:rRNA from 1 species
GACGAACGCUGGCGGCGUGCCUAAUACAUGCAAGUUGAGCGCUGAAGGUUGGUACUUGUACCAACUGGAUGAGCAGCGAACGGGUGAGUAACGCGUGGGGAAUCUGCCUUUGAGCGGGGGACAACAUUUGGAAACGAAUGCUAAUACCGCAUAAAAACUUUAAACACAAGUUUUAAGUUUGAAAGAUGCAAUUGCAUCACUCAAAGAUGAUCCCGCGUUGUAUUAGCUAGUUGGUGAGGUAAAGGCUCACCAAGGCGAUGAUACAUAGCCGACCUGAGAGGGUGGUCGGCCACAUUGGGACUGAGCCACGGCCCAAACGCCUACGGGAGGCAGCAGUAGGGGAUCUUCGGCAAUGGACGAAAGUCUGACCGGGCAACGCCGCGUGAGUGUAUAAGGUUUUCGGUUCGUAAAACACUGUUGGUAGAGAAGAACGUUGGUGAGAGUGUAAAGCUCAUCAAGUGACGGUAACUACCCAGAAAGGGACGGCUAACUACGUG